UAGUCCACGCCCUAAACGAUGAAUGUUAGUCGUCGGGUAGCUAGUCUAUUCGGUGAUGCAGCUAACGCAUUAAACAUUCCGCCUGGGGAGUACGGUCGCAAGAUUAAAACUCAAAGGAAUAGACGGGGACCCGCACAAGUGGUGGAGCAUGUGGUUUAAUUCGAAGAUACGCGAAGAACCUUACCUAGCCUUGACAUAUAUUAGAACUCAGUAGAGAUACAGAGGUGCCUUCGGGAGCUUUUAUACAGGUGCUGCACGGCUGUCGUCAGCUCGUGUCGUGAGAUGUUGGGUUAAGUCCCGCAACGAGCGCAACCCUCGUCACUAGUUACUAACGGUUAGGCCGAGGACUUUAGUGAGACUGCCUUCGCAAGGAGGAGGAAGGUGAGGACGACGUCAAGUCAUCAUGGCCCUUACGGCUAGGGCAACACACGUGCUACAAUGGCCAGGACAAUGAGACGCAAUACCGUGAGGUGGAGCAAAUCUAUAAACCUGGUCUCAGUUCGGAUUGUAGUCUGCAACUCGACUACAUGAAGCUGGAAUCACUAGUAAUCGUAGAUCAGCUAUGCUACGGUGAAUACGUUCCCGGGUCUUGUACUCACCGCCCGUCACACCAUGGGAGUUGAUUUCACCCGAAGCGGGGAAGCUAAACUGGCUACCCUCCACGGUGGAAUUAGCGACUGGGGUGAAGUCGUAACAAGGUA
rnacentral:rRNA from 1 species